rnacentral:lncRNA from 1 species
UUCCAUUGCAGGACUUCAGCUGCCCCUCCUCAGGGCCUACUGGGCGCUGCGGGCCUUCCUGUGCAUCAUCUGUGCAUCAUUUUUUCUGUCUGAGGUGCUGGGGAUCCAGCCCCACGCCUGGUGCAUGCUGGGUAAGCACUGUACCACUGAGCCCCACCCCGACCCCCACACACACCUGGCAGGGAGGGUCUACAACCCCUGAUGCCACACAGAGGGGAAAAUGACUUGCCCGAGGUAACGUGGCGGCAGACGUGGGACCUGAACCUUGGUCUUUCAAACUCUGUGCAGAGCCCUGAGUCUCACUCAUUCUGUCCCGAGGCUUCCAGGCCACAGGGAGGGUCUGAGCAAGAGAUGGAUGUGAAGGAAGACUUGGAGAUGGGACCAGAAGGUCCACCCCGGGGAGCCCUGAACCAAGAGUUAGCAGCGAGGGCCCAGGACUGAUAGUAACUGACCAGCUGUGUGUCUUUGGGCAAGUCGCUUCCCCUCUCUGGGCCUCAGUUGAUAUCUGUGAAGUAAGGAUCUGGAAUUCCCACCUGUUAGCCACAAGGCCUUGCCUGCACCUUCCUUGUGAGAGCUGCUGUCCAAGGUGCUAAGCUGCAGGCCCCGGAAGCCAUUGGCUUAGCCCACCUGUGUACCUGGCAUCUGGGUCAUGCUCAGUAAAUGGUGGCCAUUUUGACCACCAGUGAUAGUCUCCUGGUAUUCAGAGCUUGCCUCCUCCUUUCUGGUAGGGACUCACGUUUCCUGUCCCCAGAGUUCCCAGCCAAUGGGAGCACGGCCCUGGUCAGGAACAGUGCCAUGUUCUGGCACCCACCCCCCUUGGCAGGUGUGGCAGUCAGCUGUCCAUUGCUGUGACAGAAUACCUGAGAAAAACAGAGGAGGAAAGGUCUAUCUUGGCUCAGGGCUUCCAAGGUCUCAGAUCUGUGGAGAGGCCGCACACCAGGCAAGGGGCUUGUGGCAGGGCCACGCUGCUCACCUCCUGGUGGCCUGGGGGAAGCAGAGAAGGCUCCAGGACACGCCCCCAUGACCCACUUCCUCCCACGAGGCCCCACCUCCUGCAGUUUCCCCACUUCCUGGAGUCCACCCAAAUCACGACUCCCCGCGGACCAUCCCCUUUGGAGGUGACCCGGCCACUUCCCCAAGGCCUCCUCGAGUUCCGCCCUGUUGGGGACCAGGCCUUCCCCUCAGGAGCCUUGGGAGGGUGUCCAGAUCUGAGCGUGAGACACCUCCAGUCCCCACAGCCCUGGCCCCCCUCCCCCAGGCCCAGCGCUCCUGUCCUGGUCCCUGGUUCUUCCCUCAGCUGGCCUCCCCGCUGUCGGCCAAGGUCACUGUCACACAUUAGUGCUCAUUCCUGGAGGAGAGGAGAGAGCGUGGGUUUUGAAUUCUGACAGAUACGGAUGGGGUCAGCCUGUGCCUUGUCCUCGCUGUGUGACCUUGGCCAGGUCCUUCCCCCUCUCUGAGCCCCCCUUGAUGCUCAGCAGGUGUUUGUGGAGUUGGACCUUUCAGCCAGGUGACUUCAGGGGAGUUGAAUGUGUCCCAGUCACCCUGAAGCAGGCAGCAGGCUCUGAGCCCCUCGAAGCAGGGGUUGCUGAAGUUACUUUAUGCUACCCCCCUUCCCGGUGUGUGUCACCUGACCGCCGGCCAGGCUCUGCUCUCCUCAGGUCUGUGUCCCCCACUAGGUCUUUCCGAGCUACCCCGGUCCAGUGAAUGCUUCAUGAGGUGGAGCUGACUCUAACGCAUCCAGAGAAUGGAACAAGUGAGAUUUUCCUCAUCUUUUUUUUUUCUUUUUUAAGUCAGGGCUUGGAUCCUAAGGUACUGAGGUCUGGUUGAGGUCAGAUGUGACCUUGGCUGGAUUCCCCACCCCCACCUUUAUCAGCAGGACGUCCACA